rnacentral:rRNA from 1 species
GGCGGACGGGUGAGUAACACGUGGGUAACCUACCUAUAAGACUGGGACAACUUCGGGAAACCGGAGCUAAUACCGGAUAAUAUGUUGAACCGCAUGGUUCAAUAGUGAAAGAUGGUUUUGCUAUCACUUAUAGAUGGACCCGCGCCGUAUUAGCUAGUUGGUGAGGUAACGGCUCACCAAGGCAACGAUACGUAGCCGACCUGAGAGGGUGAUCGGCCACACUGGAACUGAGACACGGUCCAGACUCCUACGGGAGGCAGCAAUAGGGAAUCUUCCGCAAUGGGCGAAAGCCUGACGGAGCAACGCCGCGUGAGUGAUGAAGGUCUUAGGAUCGUAAAACUCUGUUAUUAGGGAAGAACAAACGUGUAAGUAACUGUGCACGUCUUGACGGUACCUAAUCAGAAAGCCACGGCUAACUACGUGCCAGCAGCCGCGGUAAUACGUAGGUGGCAAGCGUUAUCCGGAAUUAUUGGGCGUAAAGCGCGCGUAGGCGGUUUUUUAAGUCUGAUGUGAAAGCCCACGGCUCAACCGUGGAGGGUCAUUGGAAACUGGAAAACUUGAGUGCAGAAGAGGAAAGUGGAAUUCCAUGGUACGGUGAAAUGCGCAGAGAUAUGGAGGAACACCAGUGGCGAAGGCGGACUUGUCUGGUCGUGUAACUGGACGCUGAGUGUGCGAAAGCGUGGGGAGUCAAACAGGAGUUAGAUACCCUGGUAGUCCACGCCGUAAACGAUGAGUGCUAAGUGUUAGGGGGUUUCC